AACAGAAACAAAGCUGAGUGUGAUGGUGCACACCUGUACUCCCAGUGACUCGGGAGGCUGAGGCAGGAGGAUUGAAAGUUAGAGGCCAGCCUCAGCAAUUCAAAGAAACUCUAAAAAUAAAAAAUAUGAAGUUCAGGGGAUAUACCUCAGUGAUUAAGCACCCCUGGGGUCAAUCUCCAGUAUCCAAAACAAAACCAAAACCAUUUGUUUUA
rnacentral:lncRNA from 1 species